CAGAGCCCGGAGGCACCGGGCCGCAUCCACCGCCCCUCCCCGCGCCCCGCGGCGGAGGCACCGCCCCGGGGAGAGCGGAGUUUCGCCACGCUCCCUAACGGGCGCGCUGCCGGCGCGGCGGAGCCAGGAGUUUCGCCACACUCCCGUAGUCCCCUCGUGGGGUGGCGGCGCGGUGCAUGCCGGGCCCGACGCGGACUGUCCCUUCGCUGCGCGAGGAGCUGGGAGCCGCGCCUGCCGCCAUGUUCCGCUGGGCCGCCGCCGCCCGGGGCCUCUAGCCGCCGCCGCCCCGCCCCGCCGCCGGCCGCCGCGCGCCCCUCUCCCCCUCAGCCCGCCGGCGGAGGAGGCGGACCCAGGCGCCGUCGCGCCCAGCAGCCGCCGCCGGAGCCCGGCAGCGCCCAGCGAUGUCCGCCAAGGAGGGGAGCAAGGUGCUGCUGCUGACGCCCCACGCCACCAGCGAGCGCGCCGUCAAGGCUGUCCCUUUUCCACCGACGCAUCGCUUGACAUCUGAAGAAGUGUUUGACACAGAUGGAAGACCAAGGGUUGACAUUUUGAAGAACCACUUGAUAAAAGAGGGUCGAGUAGAUGAAGAAAUUGCACUUAGAAUCAUCAAUGAGGGUGCUGCAAUAUUACGGAGGGAAAAAACUAUGAUAGAAGUUGAAGCACCAAUUACAGUGUGUGGUGAUAUUCAUGGCCAGUUCUUUGAUCUAAUGAAGCUGUUUGAAGUGGGAGGAUCACCUGCUAACACAAGAUACCUCUUCCUCGGUGACUAUGUAGACAGAGGUUAUUUUAGUAUAGAGUGUGUGCUGUACUUAUGGGUCCUGAAAAUUCUCUAUCCAAGCACAUUAUUUCUUUUGAGAGGCAACCAUGAAUGCAGACACCUAACAGAGUACUUUACCUUUAAGCAAGAAUGUAAAAUAAAGUACUCGGAAAGAGUCUACGAUGCUUGUAUGGAAGCUUUUGAUUGUCUCCCUCUUGCUGCUCUCUUAAAUCAACAGUUUCUUUGUGUUCAUGGUGGACUCUCACCAGAAAUUAAUACACUAGAUGACAUUAGGAGAUUAGAUAGAUUCAAAGAGCCUCCAGCAUUUGGACCAAUGUGUGACUUAUUGUGGUCAGAUCCUUCAGAAGAUUUUGGAAAUGAAAAUUCACAAGAGCAUUUCAGUCACAAUACAGUCAGAGGAUGCUCAUACUUUUAUAGCUAUCCAGCAGUUUGUGAAUUUUUGCAAAAUAAUAAUUUAUUGUCAAUCAUUAGAGCACAUGAAGCACAAGAUGCAGGUUAUAGAAUGUACAGGAAAAGUCAAACUACAGGGUUCCCAUCAUUAAUAACAAUUUUUUCAGCACCUAAUUACCUGGAUGUCUACAAUAAUAAAGCUGCUGUAUUAAAAUAUGAAAACAAUGUGAUGAAUAUUCGUCAGUUCAAUUGUUCUCCUCAUCCUUACUGGCUACCAAAUUUUAUGGAUGUUUUUACAUGGUCUUUGCCAUUUGUUGGAGAAAAAGUAACAGAAAUGUUGGUGAAUGUUUUGAGCAUUUGCUCUGAUGAUGAACUGAUGACAGAGGGAGAAGAUCAAUUUGACGUAGGUACAGCUGCCGCACGGAAAGAAAUAAUCAGAAACAAAAUUCGUGCAAUUGGCAAGAUGGCAAGAGUCUUCUCUGUUCUCAGGGAGGAGAGUGAAAGUGUGCUGACACUCAAGGGUUUGACUCCCACUGGAAUGUUACCUAGUGGAGUGUUGGCUGGAGGACGACAGACCCUGCAAAGUGAUGCGUUCUAGUUGGAAACUCUUCUCAAAGGUUGAGUGCAGAAGAUCAAGUUUAAAAAUGGUGGAGUCUGGAGCUGUCUCUAAUUCCUGUAUUGUUGGGGAGAAGAAAUUAUAUCCUUCCUCCCAGAAAACUCCACAUACUCACUGAAUGUGGACUUUGGACUUCACAGCUUUCAUCAGAUACUUGCAGUUUGAAGAAGGAUAAGCACCUAAACCACUACAGCAUGACCAUUUAUCAGUAACAGCCAUCCCUUUUGAAUGUAGCACUUACAGAGAUGGUUCUCAUUAGCCCUUCAGUGGUCUCACUGAGAAAGGUAGGAGAAGGUGUACAAACCUCAACAGCUAGAAAUAACAAAGGUGAGGGCCUAAUUUUUUACUACCUGUCCUGGAAUCUCUUGGUUUAACUUUGGAUGCUUAAAGUUUCUUAUAUAUGACUUACCUGGCAUUUGUGCUGGUCCACCUCCAGCGUAGCUUUGGGCAGGAGGUUGUGGGUAGCCACCAAAGCCAGGGCCAGCAGGAGGCACACCAAACCCAGGGCCUGAAGGAGCUAGGGAAAAAACAGCGACUUUAGCAUGCUUAAUGUUCUGUACUUGACUUCUGAUGCGUGAGCCAGGUUACUGAGCAGAGCUAUGUAAGGGACUAAAUCUUCUGUGUCUGUGCAGUGACCCAAAACCAUCAAGGCCCUGCCAUCACCACACAGGUAUUUACUGCAAGACAGCAAUCUGGCUGGCUGCUUACAUGCUGCUGCCUAAAUUGAUCGCUGAACAAAGCUGCUUUUCUUACUACUUCUACCAAGCACAGGGAAUGGUUACACCAGAAGGGGUACUCUAACAAAGGAUCUUACCUCCGGAAUAAGGUGGCAUUCCUCCAGCCUGGGGAGCUCCAGGGUAGCCCCCAGGGGCAGGAUAUCCUGCUGCCCCUGCAUACCCAGCACUCGGUGGUGCUGCAGGAUAGGUGCCACCUCCUCCUGCUGGAGGGUAUCCUCCAGGAACUGGGGGAUAGGAGUACUGACCAGCUGGUGGAUAGACAGACUCUUGUCCUGUGGGCUGAAACACAAAAAUGGGAUGUCUGUAUGCCUGCUAACAGGACACUAAAGUAAAAACUCUCAAGCUACAAAAAUGUCCAUGUGUAUAAUAAUGUGAAUUAGAUAAUUAAAUUCAGCACUUGAAGCAGCAGCAGUAGAAUUCCCGAAGCCUGGAUGGGCGUCUUCUAGUUGCAUUUUGUGAUGCAUCUUCUAUGCUGACACAGAAUCAGAGAGUGCUGCAGGGUGGAAGGCACCUCUGGACGGCCUCUGAUCCCAUCCACCUUCAAAGCAGGGUCAGCUUCAGAGGUAGAUGAGGUCAUACAAGGCCUUGUCAAGUUUUCAGUAUCUCCAGUGAACAGUGAACCCACAGACGCUCUGGGUCCUUGUUCCAGUGUUUGCUUAGCAGACGACUGAAUAGAUUUCCGCUUAACUUUCCUCCAGGUGAGCAGCCCUCCCUGGGCUGUUUGUCUUCCUCUUUGUCCAUGUCUGUUGUACUGGGAGGCCACAACUAGACGUGGUAUUCCAGAUGUGGGCUUGUGAGCACUAAGCACAGAGGAAUAAUUAUUUCCCUUGACCUACUGGCUUUGCUCUUUGCUAAAGCCUGGUAUAUCAUUAGCCUUCCUCCCUGGGUACAUGCACUGCUGAGCCACAUUUGACUUGUCAACCACCAGGACCCCAUGUCCUUUACUGGAAAGCUGCUACUUCUAUCCUGCAUAAGCAAAAGGUGAGCUCAGCCAGGCUUGCUCUCUAUGAAUCAUUAGAAGCUCACCUACUGUUUUUACAGGACUUUUAAGAGCUUAGUAUCUUUGAACUUUCUGCCUCUCUUGCACAACCAGUUUCAAAUGUUACGUGGUGACAACUUACAAGAGGUGUUGGGGUUUUUUUCCAUUUCCUUUGGAUUCCAGGUUAUAAAGCAUGGACAUUCAAUGACUAAAUCUGGACCACUGAGUCAGAUUGAACACCUAUUACAGGUUUUAAAUAAAAAGAACAAGUCAAACAUCUAUAUGCCUUUGUUUUGCUACGUGUAUGACUUAUCAGUCAUACCAUAAACGUUUGCUAUUAGUAUUAACAUACAUUAGAAAUAUUUACUUGAAUGACCAGGAUGUCUAAGGGAAAACCCCUGUAAGUUAAAAGUCAUACACCUGAUCUUAACAAUCAGGUAUUUAAAAUCAGCUUCAUAACGAAGUAUUAUGUAUGGACUCAUUACUCGGUGGGAAUCAUCUUACCAACUAGCUUUAGAAAUACAGGUCACACAUUACAUACAAUAAACAUUCAUUCUCAAUCCGAGAAAACAGAAAUAAACUUCAAAGCAGUAAAGUCUAGCUCAAACAUUCUCCUCAAUUUUGGUUGCCCCAAAAUUUCUACCCCCUGAAUUACUGUGCCCAGGCUAUAUAAUACUCUCUCCCCCAGCAGUACAGUCUAACCUUCCAGACUCAACCAGAAGAUUUUAAUGGCAUUUAGAUUUACAAAUCCAAAAUUAGGAUCCUCAAAAGCCCUGCUCAGAUAACUAUCACUACUGCAGAAGAAAAUAAUUUUGCAUUAUUUUUUGCACUGGUUAUCACUUUGGGCAUCAUCAGUUAGAUUAGGAAACCUAGAAUUGUUGGUAUCAAAUCUAAAGGAUCUUUUAAAUUAAUCCAUUAAAAUUGGCUGUAUUUUAGAUGCUAGCUGAGAAAAAAAAUAUUUUCAGAUAUAAGUAAAAAUAAAUCACAGCUACAAUCACGAGUGUUAGCAGAACUGGGAGGAGGGGAAAGAAAUCCUGGAGUUAAGAAAGUCUGGUUUCUAUCAUGUUUGUCUUUAGUUUGACUUCAGUGUUUCAGAGGGAGUAAGGGUAAAAUGUAAAGCAAAAUAAUUGGAGAAUUUAUUGCAUGUAUUUAUAGAUAUUGGAUGUAUUUAUAGCUUUUCAGUAUCUUAAUGGGAUCCAGGCUGAGCUCCAUGCUGAAGUCUAGUUCUGUACUACAUGAAACACUGACCAUAUAAAAUUCUCACAAUUACAGUAUGAUCAGUGCCAUACUAAUAAAAGUACACAGUUGCAUCUAGCUUUGAAAAACAAUGCAGGCAUAUCAAAAAGACUGCAGUAUCAGUCACACCUGAUACAUUCCAGCCUUCUGUCAAGUUUCACUGGAAUUUUCAGCCCAUUCAGUCAUGAACUGAAGGUGGAACAAAGUCCUGCAGCUGAAGGAGAGGGGGUCGAAGCCAAGAUACUGUGUCCUUUAUCCUCAGAAAAAUGUUUACUUGGUGUCAUAUGAAAGCUUGGCUACUUGAGUAAAGCAUUCCAAGCUCUUCCUGAGGGUAGUGGCCACUGAAGAUUUUUCAGCAUCUCUGUAAAUCCUGGGAUACAGGUACACAGGAUAUUUGUACAGACUGUGGUAGAGACUGGUUCAGAGAUUACCUCUGACCCUGUAUGUAAAGACCUGCAAGAACUACCGAUACAUCUAAAAAAAGUUAUUGCUGAGAUACCUAUAUUAAAACAACAAAUUAGCAAGAAAAAGAUAAGAUAAAACAAGAUCAAUCAAUCAAAAACCUUCUGGAACAACAGACAUUAUGAAAAUAAAAAAACCCAAACCAGAAGCAAAGCCCAUAAUCUCUAGAGAAUAUUGUAUAUGAACUGACAG